CAUUUGGAACAUGUAUAAAAGAUAAACUAUAAAUACACAGUCGCAGUGUCACUUUGAAUAUAUAAACGACAAGACGAUGUUAAAAUUGAGUGGAUUAAUACUGUGCAGUUUUGGUAUUCUAUUUGUCUUCAGCACCACUGCCAGUGGUCAAAUUAAUGUACAUCGUGUACAUGUACCAGAGUGCAGAUUGGUGUGUCCAACCCUACAUCCAGGAAGAUUCGGUGUUUGUGAAGAACAAUGUCCGGUAACUGGCUGUGGUCCUGGACGUUUAUGUUGUUCAAACGGUUGUGGUCACUUUUGCAAAAGAGCCAUGUGGAAAUGCUUUUAAAUCUCGUACAUAGCUAUAUGGUCAUGAAUGAAAACAAAGGACAGCCAAGCAAAAGUGACAGAAUGAUGCACUUUUUUGUUUUCUUUACAUUUUCUCCAAUAAAGAUAUUUGCAAAACUC